CAUCCCAGCCAAGGCCAAACUGACACAAGGAAUUAUGCCAAGACUUGAGUGAAAAUUUCUGUUUGCGGAGCUGACUGAGAGGCUGAGGGCACUGGAAAGGUGUUUUCAUUCAAGUGCACCUGAAGAACCCAACCUGAAUUAACCAGUCUGACUAGGCAGUUUUUAGAUAAAAGCAAAGGCCAGGAGACAUUUGUGUUUUUGCUGCUGCUCAGCAAUGCCCACUGGGAACCUCAUGCUGCUAUUCACUGAAAGCAAUAGGAAACAGUCCCAGAGAAUUAGCCCCUGCUCUAGCUGGAUCCCUCCUGCCCAUUUAUCAGAGGAUGCCUGAUGAUAUUAGCAACAGCUGAGCAGUACUGGUUCAUCUCCUAUGGUUUAUAUGCAACUACAGAAGAGGCAGCUCAUGACCAGCCACUGCUGAAAGUGGUGCCUGCUCUGUCAUGUUCAUCCUUGCCAUGCUGCCAGCACCCACCGGCAAUGUCUUUCUUCGAUCACAGGGAAAGGAGCCAUGCCAAAAGGUAA
rnacentral:lncRNA from 14 species